AGUCGAACGGCAGCACGGACUUCGGUCUGGUGGCGAGUGGCGAACGGGUGAAAGGUAAUGUAUCGGAACGUGCCUACAAUGCAGCGAGGAUAACACGCGCGAAAGCGGCUAAUACCGCAUACGCCGGGGGAAAGCGGGGACCUUCGGGCCUCGCACUAUUAAACGUGCCGAUAUCGGUUAAAAAGCUAGUUGGUGGGGUAACGGCUCACCAAGGCGACGAUCCGUAGCUGGUUUGAAGAGGACGACCAGCCACACUGGGACUGAGACACGGCCCAGACUCCACCGGGGAGGCAGCAGUGGGGGCUUUUGGACGUCAGGAAACCUGAUCAGCCAUCCGCGUGCGUGAAAGCCGGAUUUGCAAACACUUUUGGCGGGAAAACGGCACGGGGAUAACUACCCCGUACAACUGACGACACUAUGCGAAUAGCCUGGCUAACUACGUGCCAACAGCCGCGGCAAUACGUAGGGUGCAAGCGUUAAUCGGAAUUACUGGGCGUAAAGCGUGCGCAGGCGGUUCGGAAGAAGAUGUGAAAUCGGAAGCAACUUUGGAACUGCAUUUUUAACUACCGAUAGAGUGUGUCAGAGGAGAGUGGAAUUCCCGCAUGUAGCAGUGAAAUGCGUAGAUAUGCGGAGGAACACCGAUAGCAGGGGCAGCCUCCUGGGAUAACACUGACGCUCAUGCACAGAAAGCGUGGGAGCAAACAGGAUUAGAUACCCUGUAGUAGUCCACGCCCUAAACGAUGUCAACUAGCUGUUGGGGCCUUCGGGCCUUGGUAGCGCAACUAACGCGUGAAGUUGACCGCCUGGGGAGUACGGUCGCAAGAUUAAACUCAAAGGAAUUGACGGGGACCCGCACAAGCGGUGGAUGAUGUGGAUUAAUUCGAUGCAACGCGAAAAACCUUACCCUUGACAUGUCUGGAAUCCCGAAGAGAUUUGGUGCUCGCAAGAGAACCGGAACACAGGUGCUGCAUGGCUGUCGUCAGCUCGUGUCGUGAGAUGUUGGGUUAAGUCCCGCAACGAGCGCAACCCUUGUCAUGGUGCACGAAAGGGCACUCAGCGGACUGCCGGUGACAAACCGGAGGAAGGUGGGGAUGACGUCAAGUCCCCAUGGCCCUUAUGGUGAGGCCACACGUCAUACAAUGGUCGGGACAGAGGUCGCCAACCUUACGGGGAGCCAAUCCCAGAAACCCGAUCGUAGUCCGGAUCGCAGUCUGCAACUCGACUGCGUGAAGGUAAGAAUCGCUAGUAAUCGCGGAUCAGCAUGUCGCGGUGAAUACCGGGUCUUGUACCUGCUAAUCACACCAUGGGAGUGGGUUUUACCGAAGUAGUUAGCCUAACCGUAAGGAGGGCGAUUACCACGGUAGGAUUCAUGACUGGGGUGAAGUCGUAACAAGGUAGCUCUGUUACUAC
rnacentral:rRNA from 1 species